rnacentral:rRNA from 1 species
AUUGAACGCUGGCGGCAGGCCUAACACGUGCAAGUCGAACGAGUGGCGGACGGGUGAGUAAUGUCUGGGAUACUGCCCGAUGGAGGGGGAUAACUACUGGAAACGGUAGCUAAUACCGCAUACCAUCGGAUGUGCCCAGAUGGGAUUAGCUUGUAGGUGGGGUAACGGCUUACCGGGGUGACGAUCCCUAGCUGGUCUGAGAGGAUGACCAGCCAAACUGGAACUGAGACACGGUCCAGACGCCUACGGGAGGCAGCAGUGGGGAAGAUUGCACAAUGGGCGCAAGCCUGAGACAGCCAUGCCGCGUGUAUGAAGAAGGCCUUCGGGUUGUAAAGUACUUUAAGCGGGGAGGCGUUACCCGCAGAAGAAGCACCGGCUAACUCCGUGCCAGCAGCCGCGGUAAUAC